UACGUAGGGGGCAAGCGUUGUCCGGAUUUAUUGGGCGUAAAGAGCGUGUAGGCGGCUUUGCAAGUCCGUUGUGAAAACUCGAGGCUCAACCUCGAGACGUCGGUUGAAACCGUAAGGCUAGAGUCCGGAAGAGGAGAGUGGAAUUCCCGGUGUAGCGGUGAAAUGCGCAGAUAUCAGGAAGAACACCCGUGGCGAAGGCGGCUCUCUGGGACGGUACUGACGCUGAGACGCGAAAGCGUGGGGAGCGAACAGG
rnacentral:rRNA from 1 species